CAGACCAAAGUUUUAUAUAAUUAUUUAAGUAUUGGUGUUGAUGCAGAAGUGACAUUAGGAUUUCAUAAAGCACGUGAAAGUAAAUUCUAUUUGAUGAGUAGUAGAUUAAUUAACAAGUUUCUUUAUUUGUGUUAUGGAACUCAACAAGUUGUUGCACCCA